rnacentral:rRNA from 1 species
GGUAGGGUCAAUGAUCAGGGUAAAGUCGUAACAAGGCAUCCGUAGCGGAAGCUGUGGAUGGAUCACCUCCUUUCUGGAGA